rnacentral:rRNA from 1 species
AAAAAAAGCAUUAAACGGAUACCUUGACAAAAGAUUCUAUUGGAUGUUGUACAACAAAAAUUUUAGCUGAGCUGUAAUGCUGGGACGCUGAAAUGUCCAAUAAAAGAAAUUUUUCUCUUGGAAGUUUUCAGAAAAGUGAAUUGAAACAUCUUAGUAACUUUUUAAGAAAUCAAACGAGAUACUGAAAGUAGUGGCGAACGAACUCAGUACAGGCAAAAAACAUAGAUAAAACACCAAUUGAACCUCGAGACCAGAGAAGGUUUAAGUCCUGUAGAUCGGCAAAAACUGUGUUUUUAAGUAAAAGAGGUUGUACUCUUUGAACAAUGGGGGACCACCCUCAAAGCCUAAAUUUUGGUCUUUUGAUCGAUAGUGAACGAGUACUGUGAAGGAAAGGACAUACAUCCUAGGAUGUUUUGAAAUUUAAUGCUAGCAAUCGGUUGGAGCUUUAUAAAGUGACAGCGUACCUUUUGCAUAAUGGGUCAGCGAGUUUUUAAAAAAGGCAAGCUUUUAACGAGGCGAAGAAAAUACGAAUUUUAAAAAAUAACCAGUCUUUUUUAAAAGACCCGAAACUGAGUGAUCUAACCUUGAACAGGCUGAAGACAGAGUGGUAACAUUCGUUGGAGGGCCGAACCCGUGUCUGUGGCAACAUACUGGGAUGAUUUGAGGUUAGGAGUGAAAGGCUAAUCAAACUCAGAGAUAGCUGGUUUUCUGCGAAAUCUAUUUAAGUAGAGCGAUCAAGUAAAACUUUUUGGGGUAGAGCACUUUUUAGAUGAUGGGGCAAUUUCGCUUACUGAUUUUAAGAAAACUCCGAAUACAAAAAGCUCUGAACUUGAUCAGACAGACCAUGGGUGCUAAGGUCCAUGGUCAAGAGGGAAACAGCCCAGAUUGAUCGCUAAGGUCCCAAAGAAAUCUUUCAGUUUAAGGAAGUAAGAUUACGAAGACAACUAGUAGGUCGGCUUGGAAGCAGCCAUCCUUGAAAGAAAUCGUAACAGAUCACUGGUCGAGUAAUUUUGCACCGAAAAUUUAUGGGCAUUAAAAGAUUCGCCGAAGCGGCAAACUUUUUUAAGUGGUAGCAGAACGUUCUGUGAAAUCAAUGAAGAAAAUUUGAGAAAAUUUUUCGAGAAAUCAGAAGUGAAAAUGCUGACAUGAGUAACAAAAAACAAUGUACAGAAUCAUUGUGGCUGUAAAUCCAAGGGUUUUGACGGAAGGAUUAUCCGCGUCAUGCCAUCUUUCGAUGGACAUAUUAGACGGUCCCUAAGAACGCUGAUGACAAUCAGGUUUGAUGGGUUAAACGUUUCGUUUCUUUAAAAAAAUGACAGAUUCUUAAGAUUAUUUUUAGUUUAUAGAGGAAACUAAAGGUGGUGGACGAAUUUCAGGAAAAAGUUUUUUUACUGCACAAACCGUACCUUAAACCAACACAGGUGGAUGGGUGGAAUACACUAAAGCCAAUGAGAGAAUGAUGUUGAAGGAACUCGGCAAAAUGAUUCCGUAACUUCGGAAGAAGGAAUAACCUUGCGAGGGCAACCUUGCAAGGUUGGCACAGAAUUGGGGGUAGCGACUGUUUAAUAAAAACACAGGUCUCUGCAAAUUUGUAAAAAGAUGUAUAGGGACUGACACCUGCCCGGUGCUGUAAGGUUAAACUAUGCUGUUUUGGCAGUGUACAUAAGCCUCAGUAAACGGCGGCUGUAACUCUGACGGUCCAAAGGUAGCGAAAUUCCUUGUCGGGUAAGUUCCGACCUGCACGAAUGGCGUAACGACUUCCCCGCUGUCUCCAACAUCGACUCAGCGAAAUUGAAUUACCUGUCAAGAUGCAGGUUUCCCGCGGUUAGACGGAAAGACCCCGUGCACCUUUACUACAGCUUCGCACUGGCAUCAGGACUGCAAUGUGCAGGAUAGGUGGUAGGCUUCGAAGCAGGGACGCCAGUUCCUGUGGAGCCUUCCUUGAGAUACCACCCUUUGCAUUCUUGAUGUCUAACCGCGGUCCGUUAUCCGGAUCCGGGACCCUGCGUGGCGGGUAGUUUGACUGGGGCGGUCGCCUCCUAAAGAGUAACGGAGGCGUACAAAGGUAGGUUUGCGUAGGUCAACAAUCUACGUGUAAGCGUAAUGGUACAAGCCUGCUUGACUGUAAGAGCGACAGCUCGAACAGGAACGAAAGUUGGUCAUAGUGAUCCGGUGAUUUUGCGUGGAAAAAUCAUCGCUCAACGAAUAAAAGGUACGCCGGGGAUAACAGGCUGAUGACUCCCAAGCGUCCAUAGCGACGGAGUUGUUUGGCACCUCGAUGUCGGCUCAUCGCAUCCUGGGGCUGGAGCAGGUCCCAAGGGUUGGGCUGUUCGCCCAUUAAAGUGGCACGCGAGCUGGGUUCAGAACGUCGUGAGACAGUUCGGUC